rnacentral:rRNA from 1 species
UACGUAGGGAGCAAGCGUUGUCCGGAUUUACUGGGUGUAAAGGGUGCGUAGGCGGCUUUGCAAGUCAGAAGUGAAAUCCAUGGGCUUAACCCAUGAACUGCUUUUGAAACUGCAGAGCUUGAGUGGAGUAGAGGUAGGCGGAAUUCCCGGUGUAGCGGUGAAAUGCGUAGAGAUCGGGAGGAACACCAGUGGCAAAGGCGGCCUGCUGGGCUCUAACUGACGCUGAGGCACGAAAGCGUGGGUAGCAGACAGG